GGAGUUUGGGCCGUGUCUCAGUCCCAAUGUGGCCGUUCAACCUCUCAGUCCGGCUACUGAUCGUCGCCAUGGUGAGCCGUUACCUCACCAUCUAGCUAAUCAGACGCGAGCCCAUCUUUGAGUGAUAAAUCUUUGGUAGUCCUAUCAUGCGGUAAAACUACGUUAUGAGGUAUUACCAUCCGUUUCCAGAAGCUAUCCCUCUCUCAAAGGCAGGUUGCUCACGUGUUACUCACCCGUCCGCCACUAAGAUUACAAAGCAAGCUUAGUAAUCUCCGUUCGACUUGCAUGUGUUAGGCGUGCCGCCAGCGUUCGUCCUGAGCCAUGAUCAAACUACU
rnacentral:rRNA from 1 species